AUUGAACGCUGGCGGCAGGCCUAACACAUGCAAGUCGAGCGGAUGAAGGGAGCUUGCUCCUGGAUUCAGCGGCGGACGGGUGAGUAAUGCCUAGGAAUCUGCCUGGUAGUGGGGGAUAACGUCCGGAAACGGGCGCUAAUACCGCAUACGUCCUGAGGGAGAAAGUGGGGGAUCUUCGGACCUCACGCUAUCAGAUGAGCCUAGGUCGGAUUAGCUAGUUGGUGGGGUAAAGGCCUACCAAGGCGACGAUCCGUAACUGGUCUGAGAGGAUGAUCAGUCACACUGGAACGGGGACACGGUCCAGACUCCUACGGGAGGAAGCAGUGGGGAACAUUGGACAAUGGGCGAAAGCCUGAUCCAGCCAUGCCGCGGGUGUGAAGAAGGUCUUCGGAUUGUAAAGCACUUUAAGUUGGGAGGAAGGGCAGUAAGUUAAUACCUUGCUGUUUUGACGUUACCAACAGAAUAAGCACCGGCUAACUUCGUG
rnacentral:rRNA from 1 species